GAGCAGAUGUUCCUAAUGUUUUGUACUCUCAGUGUAUAGGGAAUAGGGUGCCAUUUUGGGAUUCCCCCCCCCCGCCUGAUAGAUACGACUAAACAGAACCAUAUCAUUUCGUCAUGACCAGGCUAGGGAGAUAGCGGUCUGACGUGGUGCAACACCAGGGUCUUAUCCCAGGGAAGCUCUCAGACCGGACACCAGGGUCUUAUCCCAGGGAAGCUCUCAGACCGGACACCAGGGUCUUAUCCCAGGGAAGGUCUCAGGCCGGACACCAGGGUCUUAUCCCAGGGAAGGUCUCAGGCCGGACACCAGGGUCUUAUCCCAGGGAAGCUCUCAGGCCGGACACCAGGGUCUUAUCCCAGGGAAGGUCUCAGGCCGGACACCAGGGUCUUAUCCCAGGGAAGGUCUCAGGCCGGACACCAGGGUCUUAUCCCAGGGAAGG